ensembl:lncRNA
AAAUCAUGCCAUGAAUAUAUUACAAAUCCUGAGUGGUUGGAUAGUGUGCAGAAAAAUGGAGAAUUAUUUUAUUUAGAAUUUAGUGAAAGUGAAGAAGAAAUUCUGCUUCAGAACAGCUGUCCAGAAAUGCCAGCAGUGAAUCAUGUCAGGUUUCGUGAAAAUGAAGCUGAAAUUAUUCAGGAGGGAUCACGAAAGGAAAGGAAGUAUGAACUGAAGAAAUGGACCAAAAUGCUAAAAAAGAAGAGUCUUUUACCAAAGGGUUCUGGUAAGAAAGGCAGUGGAACCUGCAAUGUUCUCCCCUCAGGUCCUACUUCCAUAUUGAAACACCGGUCUCCUCAGAAAAUGGGUGUCCCUGUUCAGCAAAAGUACAAAGAUGUGUCUGUUUAUGUAAAUCCCAGAAAACUCUACAGCGCUGAGGAAGAAGAGCAGCAGAGGCUGCUGGAGGCCUUGGUAGGGAUUGUCCAUCAGUCUUCAUGGAGCAGCAAAAGAGUGGAAAAACAAGGCAGGAGGGAUAAAGCCACCAGAGGAGUCAGUGAAGAGAAGCUUGUGGUACAUGGCUUGGUGCCAGGUAGUUCUGCAAUGAAAACAGGUCAAAUCCUGAUUGGAGAUGUUCUUGUUGCUGUAAAUGAUGUCGAUGUGAAUUCUGAAAACAUAGAGAGGGUUUUGUCUUGCAUUCCAGGUCCUAUGCAGGUUAAACUGACAUUUGAAACCUCGGUAUUUGAGCCUGAAGGAACUUCUGAGCAAAGGAACAAACAGACACAGUCAAGUAUGAACAACCUGGUUCGGCUCCUGUGGGGAGGGGACAGUGUGGACCUUCAGCAGGCUGCGCAGGACGUGCCUCACAUUGUCAUGUUCCUCACGCUGAAACUGGACUCUGAGACAUCCAAGGAUGAGCAAGAAAUUAUUUAUCAGUACCCCAUAUCUGAAGCAUCCCAAAAACUGAAAAGUGUGAGAGGGAUAUUUCUCACACUGUCUGACAUACUGGAAAGUGUUACUGGUACCGAGAUUAUCAGUUCCUCCCUUUUCUUAUGUGAAAAACUGGUUCAAGUUGUUUACUGGAAAGAAUCCGACAAGUUGCUUGUAAUUGGCCUUCCUGAAGAAAAUGUCCCACUUUCUCAUCUGAGGAACAUGAUUCAAGAUGUUGUCAGGACCUUGACAUUCAUGUACAGUUCUUUGGAUAGUGCUUUUUGCCAGGUGGAAAAUGUUUCUCGCCUGGAUCACUUUUUCAACCUGUUCUUCCAGCGUGCCCUUCAUCCUGCGAGGCUGCAGCAGCAGGAUUCCUGCAGUGCCCUGUUCCUGGACAGCCUCCCAGGCCUGCGCUGGCUGACACUGCCUCAGGAAAUCAAGAUGGAAAUUGACACAGCACUGAGUGAUCUGGAAGCAGCUGACUUUGCAGAGCUGUCUGAAGACUAUUACGACAUGAGAAGAUUAUAUGUGAUCCUGGGCUCUUGUCUCUUUUACAAGGGUUACUUGAUUGGCAAUCACUUGCCAAAGGAAGACCUUCUUGAUGUGGGUCUCUACUGCCGGCACUACUGCCUGUUACCCCUGGCAGCAGAGCAGAGGAUUGGGCAGUUGGUGAUUUGGAGGGAGGUGUUCCCACAGCACCACCUCCAGCCCUGUGAGGAGGCAAGUCUGACAGGAUACAGGGAACCUGAAGCAAGAUACUUCCUACUGAUAGUUGGCUUGAGACACUUCGUCCUGUGUGUCCUGCUGGAGGCAGGGGGCUGUGCAUCCAGAGCUGUUGGGAAUCCAGGACCAGACUGUAUCUAUGUAGACCAGGUCAAAGCAACCAUACUGCAGCUGGAGGGAAUAGACGCCAGCAUAGAGGAAAGGCUGGACUCUCCCUCCAUCCCACCUGUAGCCUGUGCUGACUGGUUCCUUCCUGCAGCACGGGACAGACUGGAGGGCUUGAGCAAGCUGCAGAACUCCUGCAAAGCUGUGAGCAGUGCAGGGAGCAAGAGGAGCCUCUUUGGGGACAGCUGCCACAGCACACGGACGCAGAGCCCCCCGAGGAGCAGCGGGGCAGCCGAGCAGGGCGGCCAAGGGCCCGCCCAGGAGGAGAGCUCCAACCCACAGCCUGUGGGGGAGCAGGUCAGGCAACACGGGCACAGAGAACUGAUGAGGUUUGGGGGACUGGGGAGAGGGCAAAAAAAACACAUCCUGCCAAACCCAUUUCAUUCAGGAAACCUUAAAAAGAACCCUUCAGAGAAAGAUACAGAACUUCUUAAUGCUAUCAAGUUGACAUCUGGUCCUGAGAAUACCCUCUUCCACUAUCUGUCUUUGGAGACAAUGCAAGGAAUUUUUAUUACUCCAACUCACAAAGAAGUAGCACAGCUUGGUGGCUCCAUCCACCCUCAGUUAAUUGAGAAUUUCUACCAGUGCUGCCUUUCAAUUCGUUCCAUUUUCCAGCAGUCCAUGAGGAAAGAGAAAAAGAAAAAGGCAGGGAGUGGGAUUUCAGAAUUUAGUAAGGCAGCUGAGGACCCAGGUCUGGUAAGAGAACAUGGACUUCUGUUUGAGUGCUCUCCUGAAAACUGGACUGACCAGAAGAAACCACCACCAACAAUGAACUACUGGGUUGUGGGGAGACUCAUUCUCCAUCCCAAACCUCAGGAGUGUUACGUGUGUUUCCAUGACUCAGUGACAGAAGCUGCUGUGGAACUGGCUUUUAAACUGUCCUUUGGCUUAGCUGCAUAG